AUGUUUAUAUUUCAAUUAAUUUUAUUUGGUAUGCAAUUAAAAAUUUGAUUCCUCAGUCUCACUAGCAACAUUUCCAAUGUCCAGUGGUCAAAAGGAACCGGGGAUGCUCCCUUUCGUAGGUGGGGCUUUGUGUCCAUAAGCCCUCCGUGAUUCGAAACUAUCCACGGUGGAGCACGCAUUUGGUGCCCAGACCCACCACAGCUUAGCAGCGCAGCAGACCAUAGGGUUUGGAAGUCUCCCUAAGUGAUCACAUCACCAGCCCCAGAAAAGAUCAAAAUUCAAAAUCUGUUGUAUGACUGCUACUGAAUACAUAUGGCCUUGGUUUCAUCAUAAAGUCCAAAAAUCCUAAAUUGAUCCAUUCCACUUUGAGGACCACCUGCAGAGGCUCCUGUGUUCAUCCACAAAGUCUGUGUAACAUGGUUUCUACAUGCAGCAGGUUCUCAGUCAAUGCUGCUUUCAAACAUGGCAAGUGGGGAAGGCACUGAGAGCCUUGUUCAUGUGCACAUUGACCCCAGUGUGCACAUGACAAGUCUCACGUGGUGGGUGAGGCAUCACUGGAGUGUUCACAUGUGCACAGUGCAUGGGCAAUGUAUGUGCAUGUGUUUUGGUUGUUGGUGCAUGCAUGCCUAAUAGAUGCCUUGCUUUCCUCCUCCACCCCAGGCACCCACUCUCUGAAGGAGUAUUGUGAACAUGGGCUCUGGAAUCCAACUGUCUGGGUUCAGAUGCUGACCUCUACCAUCUUUAUCUGUGUGACCUUAGGCAAGUGGCUUAACUUCUCUGUGCCUCAGCUUUCUUGUUAUAAAACACAGAUAAUAACAGAGCCAUCAUGGUGGGUUAUUAGGAGCAUUACAUGAGGUAAUACGUGCGAAGCAUUCAGUGAGCCUGCAGCACACUGAGCUAUUAAUAAACGUUAGCUCUUACUGUCGGUUCCAGAAGACACUGUGUUUGCUGCACUGGGACUGCCUUGGAGACGAGUGUGCAUGGACCAGAGUGUGUGGAGAACGCUGAUGAGAUGCACACCAGGGUUACUGCACAUUGAGCCCACCACUGUUCAGCCAGGACAUCAGGCAAGGCGGGGGAGGAGCUGGGGGUGCCCCCACCUGGUCACCCAUGGCCCUGAGCCCUGCAAGGAGAGGCACAGGAGAAGGGGGCAGAGGAGGGCGGGGCUGAGAGUGCUGUUUACAGCCUACGUCUUCCUGUCAGGCUGCAGAAGCACCAGAGAGCCAUGUGCGUAGCUGUUUCAGUGUCAAAAUUGCUUCCUGCAUUCAGCAAAACCCCAGCACAGCCAUUCCCUCAGACCCUGCCCUCUAGGAUCUAAAGUCUCAUCUGGACAGGAAGACCUACCCACAAAGGACAACUGGAGGGACCAAGAACCCAGGUGGGGCGGGAGGCACCUGAGGGAUGUCUAUCUAGUCCAAGGCAGCCACUGGGACACAAGUCAGUUCAACAGGUGUUUGUCUGUGUGCAGGCACCAUGGUAGGUGCUCCAGGGAGUUGCAAAGAGAGAAAAGAUAAGAAAGAGCCUGGGCCUCAGGGAGCUGAGAGCCUGGGAAAGGGGUCCAAGGCCUUGGCAGCCAAGGUGUGCAGGCUCCUAGGUGGGAAGAUUAUGAAUAGGACCUGGUACCUGAAAUGCAACUGAAAAACUAGUGAGAUCUUACAGAGCAAACUGAGGUCCAGAGAGGUUGGGUAGCUUGCCCAAGACCACCCAGCUAAUAAAGACUACAGCAUGGCAUGAAGUCCUUCCACUGUAGAAAGAUAAGAAAGGGAAUGCAUCUCCCACGUGUAUAUUGCAGAGAACAGGGCCUCAGAAGUAGCCCGGCCAUCUGAUGCCAAAAGGAAUCGGAAAAGGGUGAGGGCGCAUCUCACCCUCCGUAGGCCAGUCUGGCCUCAAGGAAGGUUCCACCCAUUUCCCGGCUUGAGGCUGCCUGUGUUUCCAGAUGUGGCCAGCAGAGGGCACCAGGACUACUGCACAGCCUGGACCACAGGGUUGACCGCGGAGUUCGGCAUUCAGAGCCCAGCCUCUGAACGAGAAGCAAAGAGAAGGAACCCUUGAUCUGCACCGCCUCUGGGGUCUCUCCCCAAACCACAGCGACCGAGCAAUGAACUAAAACAGAGCCUUUCUGUCAGGCCACGUGUGUGGUAAAACGGUUGGAGAUGGCAGCCCGAAGCAGUCCCCAAAAGCCUGCAAUGCUGUGUCCCUUUCAGGUGCAUGACAGAAGAACCGGGUCCUCUGAUAUGGCCCUGGCCAGGAACCACCCUCCCUGCCUUAACAAGGCCGCUCACUGUAUGCACCUGGCUUCUCCUACAGAAAGACACCCUGGACUUUUCCAGGACUUGUCUCCCUGAAUAGAGGGCACCAUUCCCUUUGGAGGAACCCCAGCCUUUGGCAGCCAAAGCUAGGUUAGUCCAGUGGGGUAAAAUUUGCCAAACCCCAAAGCAGUGGGUCUGAAUUUGCCUUUUCUUCUUCUUACUCUGAGAACUAGCAUUUGUUCGGUUUGAGCAGUGACAGUUUGGAGACUCAGGUAACAGUGCUGGUCAAGGUGGUGAUAACUGAGAUGUGAGGGAGAAAGAGGUGAAGAAGCAGAAUGAAGACUGGCGAGAGCUAAGUGGCCAGAAGGGUGACAGGAAAGGCAGAUAGGACAAGUGACUGGUGGCAUCAGCUGGUCCUUCGGUGGGACAGAGCUGUUCUCCGCUUCCUGGGGAUGAACCGCAGGAAGUCAGUCACUAGCACGCCCUGGCCAGGCGAGUGCCUCCUCCCUGCCCUCACAGCACAUAGCUGGAGUCAGUCAGGUGGGUGUCAGCUGUAUCUCUCUCCAAACUAAUGGAGCUUGAUGUGCAAGAGUGUGUGAGAGCCAUGGCAAGCCCCAAGCCGGAGCGUCUGCAGCAGAGGUGAUGCUGACGGCCAGGGGCAGGCAGAAGCAAAAGCAGAUUUCAGUGGGACUUGCCGGACUGGUUCAGGGCAAGGACCUUCAUCCUGUCUUCUCCAGUCACUCACAGCACCAUUUCACAGCCCUCCAAAACUCCAUCUCUGCAUGUGUGAAAUGCACCCCGCAGGCUUGCCUUACCUGCCGCACAGGAGUGCCACGACACCCAGAUUACACGGAAACACCAAGAAAGGGCAUGCACACCACACAGGUUCCCCGCACAGACCUGCAGCUGGGGACAGGUAGUCCACACUGGGGAAGAUGGCACUGCUCAGCCAGCUCCUCCUUGUGGGGAGGUGGAAGGGAGACAAAAGAAUACACAGACCAGAGAGUGCCAGGCUCCAGGGAAGAAAGAGUUCCCAGGUAUCCAGCUUCCAACCCAGCCUAAGGCCAGUCCCAGGGAUUCCGGAGACCACCCACCCCACCCCACACUGGGUCUGCCUACCGUGCAGUGCUCAGCUUUCCCUGGGGAAGCCUGUUUGCCACCCCCACCCCUUCCAACACCCCUCCAGGGAAUAUCCUCCCACCUCCCCCUAUUGCUGCAAACAGCUGUGAUUCAGAGAGUCAUUUCCAAGGAAACCAAAGGGGAAAAAAAUCUCAGCAUCAGGGGAAAUUUCAACCACAAAGCAAGUGGUUCCAGAGGAGCAUCAACGGCACCCAGGACACAGCUCUGGGCUCCCAGCAUUGUCAGCACCAUCCUAGAGGAAGAGAGGUAGACAGGACAUAUGUGCAGAGGAGUGGGGGGUGGAAGAGGAAUGUUUUCCAAAACUGGAAAUUAAAGUUAUCAAUAACAUUUGUUGUUUAGCUGCAGGGCUCUUGCAACUAAAGGAACAGGGAGAGAGAGAAAGAGAGAGA